rnacentral:rRNA from 1 species
AUUAGAGUUUGAUCCUGGCUCAGGACGAACGUUGGCGGCAGGCUUAACACAUGCAAGUCGAACGGACGUAGCAAUACGUUAGUGGCAGACGGGUGAGUAACGCGUGGGAAUGUGCCCUUUAGUUCGGAAUAACACAGAGAAAUUUGUGCUAAUACCGGAUAAUCCCGAGAGGGGAAAGAUUUAUCGCUGAAGGAGCAGCCCGCGUCUGAUUAGCUAGUUGGUGAGGUAAAGGCUCACCAAGGCGACGAUCCGUAGCUGGUCUGAGAGGAUGAUCAGCCACACUGGCACUGACACACGGGCCAGACUCCUACGGGAGGCAGCAGUGAGGAAUAUUGGACAAUGGGCGAAAGCCUGAUCCAGCCACGCCGCGUGCAGGAUGAAGUCCCUCUGGGGCGUAAACUGCUUUUAUAUGGGAAUAAAAAGAUGGUCGCCAUUAUUGAAGGUACCAUAUGAAUAAGCACCGGCUAACUACGUGCCAGCAGCCGCGGUAAUAAU